rnacentral:rRNA from 1 species
CCUACGGGUGGCAGCAGUGGGGAAUAUUGCACAAUGGGGGAAAGCCUGAUGCAGCAACGCCGCGUGAAGGAAGACGGUUUUCGGAUUGUAAACUUCUGUUCUUAGUGAAGAAUAAUGACGGUAGCUUAGGAGCAAGCCACGGCUAACUACGUGCCAGCAACCCCGGUAAUACGUUGGUGGCAAGGUUUAUCCGGAUUUUUUGGGUUUAAAGGGUGCGUAGGCGGGUCGGUAAGUCCGUGGUAAAAUUGAGGGGCUCAACCCCUUCCCGCCAUUGAAACUGGCGUUCUUGAGUGGAAGAGAAGUAUGCGGAAUGCGUGGUGUAGCGGUGAAAUGCAUAGAUAUCACGCAGAACCCCGAUUGCGAAGGCAGCAUGCCGGCUUCCGACUGACGCUGAAGCACGAAAGCGUGGGGAUCGAACAGGAUUAGAUACCCCGGUAGUC